rnacentral:rRNA from 1 species
CCCUUAGAUGUCCUGGGCUGCACGCGCGCUACACUGAUGCGCUCAACGAGUAUUCACCUUGCCCGGGAGGGUUGGGUAAUCUUUUGAAAACGCUUCGUGAUGGGGAUAGAUUAUUGCAAUUAUUAAUCUUCAACGAGGAAUUCCUAGUAAGCGCGAGUCAUCAGCUCGUGCUGAUUACGUCCCUGCCCUUUGUACACACCGCCCGUCGCUACUACCGAUUGAACGUUUUAGUGAGGCAUUUGGACCGACGCAUCUCAGUUUAACCGCUGGUUUGUGUUGGAAAGACUUCCAAACUUGAGCGUUUAGAGGAAGUAAAAGUCGUAACA